AUUGUUGAUUGGAAAACCAGUUAUUGACACCAACCGACCAACUAGGGAACAGGAUCUAGUUGAAUGGGCCAAACCAUACCUUGCCAGCAAAUACCUCUCAGAACAAAGCAGAAGGGAUGAUCUGGAAUCACUUGGUUAUGUGGUUAUGUAUUUCCUAAGAGGAAGGUAAAACUUUCCAGGUGAUGACAAACCAAGAAGUUGUGGAUGCCAUAAAAAAUAUAAAGGAUUCUCGGGCAGCAGCAAAGCACCUUACUGAAGAGCCAGUCAAUAGGAAGAGCUCGGACGAUAUUUCCUGUGUAGUUGUAAGAUUUCGGUGAAUGUAUAAUUUCUGUCUGGCAUGUUUCUUGUCUGAUUGAACCUCGUUUAACAAUGUCUCAGAUAUGUUUUUAUAAAACACCUAUGGAAUUGAAGUGUGCUUCAUCAGUGUCGUAUUCCCUUACAUGUUGUACAC